UCUUUAGGAAUCUGCCUGAAGGUAAGGGAAAAAUCUACGGGAAUUUUUCCUAUGAUUGAAUACCUUAUAUAAAAAGAGCUUAACUUAAGCUCGCCUUUAGAUGAGCUUAAAGAAGAUUAGGUUUUGCGUAAGGUAAUGGCUUACGUAGCCGACGAUCUUUAGCGGGUUUGAGAGAAUGAUCCGCCACACUGGAACUGAGACACGGUCCAGACUCUUUUUGAGGCAGCAGUGAGGAAUCUUGGACAAUGGACGAUAGUCUGAUCCAGCUAAACCACGUGGGUGAAAAGAAGGCUUUAAUUG
rnacentral:rRNA from 1 species